rnacentral:misc_RNA from 1 species
CGCCUCUGUAUGUCAUUGUACAAGGUGCAAAUGACCAAGUUUUCUGAUAGUGACAACAAUUGAAUGAACAAAAGUAAUUUAUUUUAUAAAUGAACAUACAUAUAUUAGAAGACCAACAAUCUUAUGAAGGCAUGUAAAAGAAAAAAAUGACUAGUCAAGUAGUGUCAUGGGAACAUGCGGUAACUGUAGUAGGAGCUUCAACUCUCAUUUUCAGAUGAUUGAAUUCUAAAGCCAAAAUGGGCUUCGACAGCAUCACAGAUAUGCUGAAAUUUCUCUUGGUCCCUCUGGGCACUCUGCUAACUGAUUCCACAUUUGAGCUCUGAUCUUCAGAUGAAUUUUCCUUGUCUGCAUCUGACUCAGAUGGUCCCGAAACUUUUGCUGGUUGCACUGCUCUUACCCUGCACUCAAUCUGGCAAGAGUACUUGAGGAGAUCAGAAUUGUACUUCGUCCGUCCACUGAAGUUUGGUAGUGACAUUUUGAUAAGUGGACCCAUCCAUCCCUUAGAAUCCUGCUGAGAAGCAGUGGCAUUAACGUUGAUGUUGCAGAUACUCAUUGCUGUCUGUUUCUUUAUUUCAGUCACUUCUACGUCCAUGUGAUUCUUAUAGUUAGAAGAAGAUGUCCUCAAGCCAAUCCUUCUUAGGAAACUACUUGAUUUACUUUCCGGUUUCUGUGGAAGUGCUGUAAUUUUCUUCGAAAAUCUGGCAACUUGGCUUGGAAGACCUACAACCUUCCGUCCAUGAAGGCAUGCCUCAUCACUGCCCACCAGCACCCUGGCAGCCCAUGCACAAGACGUAGGUGGAUUCCACACUAAUCCUGCAAUCACCACAAGCUGAACAACUUGCAUUAGAAUAAUACUUAACUAAACUAAAAAACAGAAUUCUUUAAUCAAAUCUAUCACAAUCCUGUACAAAUUAAAGCAGGCAGCCUUACAAUAUAGAAUGAAAUAAUUCAACUUAAAAUAAUACCAAACAAAUCACUUGGUCUACUAAACAAAACUAUAAUACACAACACGAAACCUCAUCGAAAAUUCCAGCAGGACUAUCAUCAUAGCUAGCAAGAAAAAACCCACCAAGAGUAUAUCCAAAUGCCUCAACUAGUUUGCACUCUUUAGGAAUGAAAGCUCUAGCGUUCUCUGCUUUGACAAGAUGAAGUUGGUAUAAAGCACUGCCUUUAAAAAUCCAUGGAGGUUUUCCAUAACCCAAUGAAGUACAAUUUGUGUCUUUCACUUCCAUGAACUCCAAAAUACCAAUUAUAUAAUAGCAUAUGCCCCUUUGCAAUUAGGAUGAAGAAAGCAAAGAAAAAGAAGAGCUCUAAUA